UUAAGUUAUUAAGGGCGCACGGUGGAUGCCUUGGCACUAGAAGCCGAUGAAGGACGUUACUAACGACGAUAUGCUUUGGGGAGCUGUAAGUAAGCUUUGAUCCAGAGAUUUCCGAAUGGGGAAACCCAGCAUGAGUUAUGUCAUGUUAUCGAUAUGUGAAUACAUAGCAUAUCAGAAGGCACACCCGGAGAACUGAAACAUCUUAGUACCCGGAGGAAGAGAAAGAAAAUUCGAUUCCCUUAGUAGCGGCGAGCGAAACGGGAAGAGCCCAAACCAACAAGCUUGCUUGUUGGGGUUGUAGGACACUCUAUACGGAGUUACAAAGGACGACAUUAGACGAAUCAUCUGGAAAGAUGAAUCAAAGAAGGUAAUAAUCCUGUAGUCGAAAAUGUUGUCUCUCUUGAGUUGAUCCUGAGUACGACGGAGCACGUGAAAUUCCGUCGGAAUCUGGGAGGACCAUCUCCUAAGGCUAAAUACUCUCUAGUGACCGAUAGUGAACCAGUACCGUGAGGGAAAGGUGAAAAGCACCCCGGAAGGGGAGUGAAAUAGAACCUGAAACCGUGUGCUUACAAGUAGUCAGAGCCCGUUAAUGGGUGAUGGCGUGCCUUUUGUAGAAUGAACCGGCGAGUUACGAUUUGAUGCAAGGUUAAGCAGUAAAUGUGGAGCCGUAGCGAAAGCGAGUCUGAAUAGGGCGUUUAGUAUUUGGUCGUAGACCCGAAACCAGGUGAUCUACCCUUGGUCAGGUUGAAGUUCAGGUAACACUGAAUGGAGGACCGAACCGACUUACGUUGAAAAGUGAGCGGAUGAACUGAGGGUAGCGGAGAAAUUCCAAUCGAACCUGGAGAUAGCUGGUUCUCUCCGAAAUAGCUUUAGGGCUAGCCUCAAGUGAUGAUUAUUGGAGGUAGAGCACUGUUUGGACGAGGGGCCCCUCUCGGGUUACCGAAUUCAGACAAACUCCGAAUGCCAAUUAAUUUAACUUGGGAGUCAGAACAUGGGUGAUAAGGUCCGUGUUCGAAAGGGAAACAGCCCAGACCACCAGCUAAGGUCCCAAAAUAUAUGUUAAGUGGAAAAGGAUGUGGCGUUGCCCAGACAACUAGGAUGUUGGCUUAGAAGCAGCCAUCAUUUAAAGAGUGCGUAAUAGCUCACUAGUCGAGUGACACUGCGCCGAAAAUGUACCGGGGCUAAACAUAUUACCGAAGCUGUGGAUUGUCCUUUGGACAAUGGUAGGAGAGCGUUCUAAGGGCGUUGAAGCAUGAUCGUAAGGACAUGUGGAGCGCUUAGAAGUGAGAAUGCCGGUGUGAGUAGCGAAAGACGGGUGAGAAUCCCGUCCACCGAUUGACUAAGGUUUCCAGAGGAAGGCUCGUCCGCUCUGGGUUAGUCGGGUCCUAAGCUGAGGCCGACAGGCGUAGGCGAUGGAUAACAGGUUGAUAUUCCUGUACCACCUAUAAUCGUUUUAAUCGAUGGGGGGACGCAGUAGGAUAGGCGAAGCGUGCGAUUGGAUUGCACGUCUAAGCAGUAAGGCUGAGUAUUAGGCAAAUCCGGUACUCGUUAAGGCUGAGCUGUGAUGGGGAGAAGACAUUGUGUCUUCGAGUCGUUGAUUUCACACUGCCGAGAAAAGCCUCUAGAUAGAAAAUAGGUGCCCGUACCGCAAACCGACACAGGUAGUCAAGAUGAGAAUUCUAAGGUGAGCGAGCGAACUCUCGUUAAGGAACUCGGCAAAAUGACCCCGUAACUUCGGGAGAAGGGGUGCUCUUUAGGGUUAACGCCCAGAAGAGCCGCAGUGAAUAGGCCCAAGCGACUGUUUAUCAAAAACACAGGUCUCUGCUAAACCGUAAGGUGAUGUAUAGGGGCUGACGCCUGCCCGGUGCUGGAAGGUUAAGAGGAGUGGUUAGCUUCUGCGAAGCUACGAAUCGAAGCCCCAGUAAACGGCGGCCGUAACUAUAACGGUCCUAAGGUAGCGAAAUUCCUUGUCGGGUAAGUUCCGACCCGCACGAAAGGCGUAACGAUUUGGGCACUGUCUCAACGAGAGACUCGGUGAAAUCAUAGUACCUGUGAAGAUGCAGGUUACCCGCGACAGGACGGAAAGACCCCGUGGAGCUUUACUGUAGCCUGAUAUUGAAAUUCGGCACAGCUUGUACAGGAUAGGUAGGAGCCUUUGAAACGUGAGCGCUAGCUUACGUGGAGGCGCUGGUGGGAUACUACCCUAGCUGUGUUGGCUUUCUAACCCGCACCACUUAUCGUGGUGGGAGACAGUGUCAGGCGGGCAGUUUGACUGGGGCGGUCGCCUCCUAAAAGGUAACGGAGGCGCUCAAAGGUUCCCUCAGAAUGGUUGGAAAUCAUUCAUAGAGUGUAAAGGCAUAAGGGAGCUUGACUGCGAGACCUACAAGUCGAGCAGGGUCGAAAGACGGACUUAGUGAUCCGGUGGUUCCGCAUGGAAGGGCCAUCGCUCAACGGAUAAAAGCUACCCCGGGGAUAACAGGCUUAUCUCCCCCAAGAGUUCACAUCGACGGGGAGGUUUGGCACCUCGAUGUCGGCUCAUCGCAUCCUGGGGCUGUAGUCGGUCCCAAGGGUUGGGCUGUUCGCCCAUUAAAGCGGUACGCGAGCUGGGUUCAGAACGUCGUGAGACAGUUCGGUCCCUAUCCGUCGUGGGCGUAGGAAAUUUGAGAGGAGCUGUCCUUAGUACGAGAGGACCGGGAUGGACAUACCUCUGGUGUACCAGUUGUCGUGCCAACGGCAUAGCUGGGUAGCUAUGUGUGGACGGGAUAAGUGCUGAAAGCAUCUAAGCAUGAAGCCCCCCUCAAGAUGAGAUUUCCCAACUUCGGUUAUAAGAUCCCUCAAAGAUGAUGAGGUUAAUAGGUUCGAGGUGGAAGCAUGGUGACAUGUGGAGCUGACGAAUACUAAUCGAUCGAAGACUUAAUCAA
rnacentral:rRNA from 1 species